rnacentral:lncRNA from 1 species
UUUUUUUUUUUUUUUUUUUGAAGGCCAUCUUAAGGCUGCAGAGAUUCUUAUUGGUUAGUUCCUUAGAGGUUACCCAGAUAAUCUUGAGCUUUGUCAGGGUUACAGCUCCUCUUCCGUGGAGACUAGAUGCUUGCCCUGGGGACCAAUUCUAGAGCCAGCCCUAGCCCUAAAGUCUGACUCUGUAGCUGGUGCUUCAGGCAGGCUGAAGAAGUGAAGAACUUUGGUUAGGGUCGGGGUUCAGGGAUCUAUUUAUGGUCCAGGCUUUAAGGAAAGUAGGCGGUGUGGGUGGAUGAUGAAAUAAUGCUGGUAAACAGUAGCCAUUCACAAGCUAGGAAGUAUGAUCAGGAUCGUAGCAUCACGAGUUCCUUCCCGAGCCACAUAGAACCGACGGAAGCCUUAGUGUGGCCUCAGGGGCCUAGCACCCCUUCCUGCUGCUUGGACACUUAAAGCUUGGUUCCUUGCUGUUUUCCUCGGGUUUUUAUAUGCUGUUGAACGGCACUUUUGUUGUGGUUUGGUUGGUUGUUUUGUUUUGUUUUGUUUGGCCGGGUCUCACUUUGUAGUCUCACCUUGAACUCAGAGACAUCCAUCCACUUCUGCCUCCCAAGUGAUGGGAUUAAAGGUGUGGCCCACCACACCCAAUUUGAGCAUCACUGUUUGAAGGUAAGCCUGCCUUAGGGUAUGUUUUUUCCUUGUCUGCGUCUGCUUUGAUUCUCCAAUCCUUUGACCAGUCUCUGUAAAAUUAAACUUUGGAUCACAGAAACUCAGCAUGGGGAGGGACUCCUGAGCCAAAUUAAGCAAUUUGACUUUUUACUUUCCUUUGGUGUAAUCAGUGUUUUUUUUAAAACAGAACUUUCUACUUUGUCUGGCCUAGGCUACUUGUAACCCCAGAUCAGAACAGUCUAGAUUAUUGAUUUUUCUCCUCAAUCCCAAAAUGUCAGAGCAUUGCCAGAUAAGAUUGUUGCCCAGUAAAAUUUGAAUUUCUGUUAAACAACAGGGCCCUAUAAUUUUACUUGCUAAAACUGGCAACCAUAGUUCAUAGGGAGGCUUAUGUGUUCUAUUUUCCUCUCAGGGCUCUCUUGCAAAUUUAGGACAACAACUCACCCUUUUCUUCCUGUCUUUCUCUUACUCAUGCACAAUGACUGUGCAUUCUACAAAGAGUCACUUGACCAAGGAGGUCAUGCAGUCCGUGCUAGGCUGAGGACAGGAUCUGGGAAAUGCUCUGGGUGCUCAGUGUUAAGCUUACCCAGAAGGAACCCACGCCCACAGUGGUUUGCAAUAUUGUUCUUCUGUCCAGUGAGUCCGUCUUACAUGGGGAGCACCUUUUGGACGGCCAGGUAUUAACUAUGCUCUAAGACGCUGGCUUCGGGGUAGAAUGGUGGGUGGUGGAUUCUAACAAGAAUGUAACUGAUAGCAUAUUCUCUGUUGUACCAAAAUUACUCUCUUUUUCAUUAUGGUAAAACUUUAUAUUGUUGUACAGCCAGCCAUCUUCAUCCAUUCUUAGAACUUUCAUCCUUUUACAUUUUUAUUUGUUUAUUUAUCUUUAUGUGUAUGGGUGUUUUGCCUGCACAUAUAUGCACACAGGGAGCCCUAGUAGGCCAGAAGAGGGUGUCUCAUGCCCCCUGGGACUGGAGUUACAGAUAAUUGUGAGCCAGCCUGUGGGUGCUGGGAAUCGAACGGAGGUCCUAUGGAAGAGCAGCCAGUGCUCUUAAUCACUAAGUCCUCUCUUUAACCCUCCUUUUUUUUUUCAUCUCCUAAACUGACUCUGCACCAGUGAGACUCACUCCCCACUCCCCCACCUCUCAUCUCCUGGGCUCAGCGUCCCACUUCUGGCUCUGGGUUUGACUACUGUGGACGCCACACAUAAGUGGAAUAAUAUUUAUCCCUCGGAAUAAUAUUUAUCCCUCUGAAACUAGAUUCUUUUACCUAACAUAAUGUUGGCUGAGUUGCAUGAGUUCUUUACAUAUUUAACAUUAACCUGCCAAUCAGAUAAGUGCCUUGCUCCCAUUCCCUGAGCUGGCUUUUCUUUCUUGAUGGUUAAUUUCUUGUUUCUUUUAGACAAGGUCUGUUUAGCCCAGGCUGGCUUUGGACUCAGUGUACAGGCCUUUUAUUUCUUUGACUAAGUUUAUUCCUAAGUAUUUUUUUUCUUUUUGAUGUUACUAUAUAUGGAAUCAUUUUCUUAAUUUCCAUUUUGGGUUUUCAUGGUUAGUGUGUAGAAACACAGCUGAUUUCUCCCUCCCUGUUAAUCUUGUGUCCUGCAACCUUACAGAAUUUGUUCUAACUGCUUUUUGUGGGAUUUUGGAGGCUUUCUGAUAGCGGGAUCAUUUCAUAUGGGGAUAAAGAUAAUUUUACUUAUUCUUUAAUUUGGAUGUCAUCUACUUAUUUAUUCAUUGGCCUCACUUCUCAGGCUAGGCCUCCUGAUAACUGGUGAAUAGAGUUGGCAGAGUAAAAUGUAGUUAGUCCUAACACCCAGUCCUUGUAGAUUUGAUGAUUUGGUAUCUGAGUCCUCAGUUGACACC